AGAGUUUGAUCCUGGCUCAGAGUGAACGCUGGCGGCGUGCCUAACACAUGCAAGUCGAACGAUGAUGGAGAGCUUGCUCUCCUGAUUAGUGGCGCACGGGUGAGUAUACCAUAGAUAAUGUACCUCUUAGUUCGGGAUAGCCACUGGAAACGGUGAUUAAUACCGGAUACUCCUUCUUGUCUUAAGGCGAGUCGGGAAAGUUUUUUCGCUAAGAGAUCAGUCUAUGUCCUAUCAGCUAGUUGGUGAGGUAAUGGCUCACCAAGGCUAUGACGGGUAUCUGGUUUGAGAGGAUGAUCAGACACACUGGAACUGAGACACGGUCCAGACUCCUACGGGAGGCAGCAGUGAGGAAUAUUGCACAAUGGAGGAAACUCUGAUGCAGCAACGCCGCGUGGAGGAUGACGCAUUUCGGUGUGUAAACUCCUUUUAAGAGGGAAGAUAAUGACGGUACCUCUUGAAUAAGCACCGGCUAACUCCGUGCCAGCAGCCGCGGU
rnacentral:rRNA from 1 species